CACGUAGGGCGCAAGCGUUGUCCGGAAUUAUUGGGCGUAAAGAGCUCGUAGGCGGUCUGUUACGUCUGCUGUGAAAACCCAGGGCUUAACCCUGGGCUUGCAGUGGAUACGGGCAGACUAGAGGCAGGUAGGGGAGAAUGGAAUUCCCGGUGUAGCGGUGAAAUGCGCAGAUAUCGGGAGGAACACCGGUGGCGAAGGCGGGUCUCUGGGCCGUAACUGACGCUGAGGAGCGAAAGCGUGGGGAGCGAACAGG
rnacentral:rRNA from 1 species